CACAAGCGGAGGAGCAUGUGGUUUAAUUCGAUGAUACGCGAGGAACCUUACCUGGGCUCGAACGUAAGAUGACUGUAGGUGAAAGCUUACAUCUCUUCGGAGCAUUUUACGAGGUGCUGCAUGGUUGUCGUCAGCUCGUGCCGUGAGGUGUCGGGUUAAGUCCCAUAACGAGCGCAACCCCUACCUUUAGUUGCCAUCAGGUAAUGCUGGGGACUCUAAAGGAACUGCCUACGCAAGUAGUGAGGAAGGCGGGGAUGACGUCAAAUCAGCACGGCCCUUACGUCCAGGGCUACACACGUGCUACAAUGGCCGAUACAGAGGGCAGCUACCUGGUGACAGGAUGCAAAUCUCCAAAGUCGGUCUCAGUUCGGAUCGGAGUCUGCAACCCGACUCCGUGAAGUUGGAUUCGCUAGUAAUCGCGCAUCAGCCAUGGCGCGGUGAAUACGUUCCCGGGCCUU
rnacentral:rRNA from 1 species